rnacentral:tRNA from 1 species
GGAGAGAUGGUUCAGUGGUUAAGAACACUGGACUUUCUUCCAGAGGACCAGAGUUUGAUUCUCAGCACCC